GUCUAAUGGUAGGACGACAGAUUCUGGAUCUGUCUAUCUAGGUUCGAAUCCUAG
rnacentral:tRNA from 1 species